rnacentral:miRNA from 1 species
ACGGCAGCGCCGCGGGAGCCUCGGUUGGCCUCGGAUAGCCGGUCCCCCGC